CUGCUCAGACUGCUUUGAACAUGACAGAUAUGUAGCCGGUUCUAGGAAGGUUUCUUGGACCUGAAAUUCGAUGUUGGACAUCUUUUACGGUAGGUAUGAUGUUGGAUGAGUGAGUGCUUCAUCCAUGUUGUGGGACACUGGCGAUGACUGUAGCCAUCAGGCUAGGUAGGUGUCUUCUACAGUGACUAUGGCCCAUGUAGACUUUAUGUGUGGGAGUAAAGCCCGGGAGUGAUUGUCUUUAUUACCUUUCUUCAAUGCAUUGGUAUCUUGUGUCUGCGUGUGAGAGAGGACAAGGUCUACCAUGUGUUUCCAGGUCCCUCAAAAGUGUACGCCUGUCCUCCACCUGCUAGGCAGCCAUCGGCCUGCUUACACAUUGACCAAGCUCGGUCAUGUUGGGGAGGCGGUUUACCGCUUUCUACCGCCGCCCAAAAAGCUGGCUAGUCAACCUCUUAACCAAAUCACAUAUCGACCGUUCUUCUCCACGCGGUUCACCGAGAACCUGGAGCGAAACUGGGGAGCUGCGGUACAGAAGUGUGUGACUGACUAACCCGAUGGGCAAGCGCGUGACACAGAGAAUAGGAUAGGCUUGACGCAGCGCAAAUGGUUGAGCCAAUGGAUGUGUGCAGUGUGAUAGAAGACUCCGGAAGCCACGGUGAAGGGGGACUGAAAUGUAC